UGAUGGGAGGCAUUACAUAAUGCAGG
rnacentral:piRNA from 1 species